CGUUGGUACACCCACAUGUUAGCUCCAUAUAUUGACGGAAACAAUAUUCCACAUUUAUAAACUUUAAAAAGAGUUAGCAGAUAAAAUCAUUGGCAAACAAUAUUGUGUUUGAUCAUACAGUAAAAUACUGGGAUAAGAGAGCAGUUAGAAUCAAGAAUCCAGUGAUCGAAAUUCACUGUUGCUAGCUAGACUUGUCGUACACAUAUUUUUUGGCCGUGAUCUACAAUGGUGUAACACCCCAACUACUUACAAAUUGGCAGUAGUUAUACAUAGAUCAUAAGCGCACUAUACAAAAUAGCGUCGCCCUUAAAAAUAUGAUGUUAACGUACUAUAGCGUGGUAUAGUACUGUGCCAUUAACGAGAUAUUAUACAUUAAUCAAUUUAGCGAGACAAUUCUCUACAUACUAUAGCAUGCUACUAGCUACACUAUAGCAUGCUAUUUUCGCAGUGAUACAACACAAAUCUUUUUCAACUCACGUGGUGCCCAACACUCUAAGUCAAACAUGCUUGACUAAGAAGUUCUCACGCGAUUGCUUCUAGAUAUGGGGACGGGUACGGCCGUGGUCAUGGAGGACAGGGUGACGAGGGAACACAUCGCGGCCGACGAGGAGUGCAUGGAGGACCUCCGCCGCCAGUACUGGGGCUUUUGAACUUGCGAGUGUGUUUCAUACUCCAAGUUUGAAUAACCAUUUACUGAGGAGCACUAUCUAGUAUUAUAUCUCGAGUUCUCGACAGUCGACACCACCUUGAUCUUUCGCGACAACGAACGCUCCAUCUAUAGCCAGAUAAUGUUUUCCCUGGCCGCAUCACAAAAACUCCACGCACGCUUUGGCCAGCGAAUAUCAAACAGAUAACCGACCCCGAAACAGCAGUCAGAAAGGGGGGCCGGAAUAUGGUUGCUUUGCAUCUGAUCUGUAGCUAACUUUCUCCCGUCAUCUAGCCGGCGACGGCGCGACCCGAACCGUCGAUCCCUUGCACCAACCCCUGGAUGGCCGGCUAGCUUGUCGAUCACUGUACGUGCGUACCAUGUCGAUCAGUAGCUAGUGUGUGUGCGCGCGCGCUCAACAAACCUCGGCCAUUGAUUCGGGCAGCACACUUUCCAUUUCUCAAGCUCGUAAAGGCACGUGCUGUUGAGUCAGUCCGAAUCGAAUCCGGCUGAUGGUCAAUCCGUAUCAGCAACCGCGUGGCGUGGUGAGGAAAGGUGGGCAGAGAACCUUGUGUACUAUACUAGUAUGCUCUAUCUUUAUGUGAUCUCCGCGUCCCUCUUGUCUAUGAGCAUCUCUUUGGCGGUGGGUGUGGAUGUGUGUAUAUAGAUACGAACUUGGGGCGUCGAGAAGCACCCAUCAUCAGUCAGCUGAAUCCCGUGGAUCGAUCGAUCGCCGGCCACAGCAUCGGUUCUCCAAACGGCGACGAGCACGUCCGAAACUGGUCGUUAGAUAGAUAGAUAGAUACGUGAUGGAGAACGACAGGAACAACCAGGCGCCGCCGCUACCCCUAGGCUACUACCCAUCUGCGGCUGCGGAGCAACGUCAAGCCGGUCGCGGGAAGAAGUCGCGCCGGGGGAGCACCAAAUCCAGGGGCGAGAAGGGAUUCAUCGAAGGAUGCCUGGCGGCGCUGUGCUGCUGCUGGAUCUGUGAGAUGUGCUGCGACUAACCGGCCGGCGACGUCGCUGCCGUUGGUGCUAGUACCUGCGUUGAAGAACGUACACAUACAGAGAGAGUCGCUGCUUAAUUACAGUGUUUGUUUGUUUGUUUGUUGUUUUAGGUUCUGCGUAACUAACCGAGAACCCGCGCGCGUGUGAUGUCCUUGUACCCUUCUUCAAACCUAUAAUCAAUUUUAAGGCACCAAAUUAUCGGGCUACUCUUGAAGAUUCUCUAAUUAAAGAUAACAUCUGCCGCGCAAAAAUGAAAGCU